rnacentral:rRNA from 1 species
AACGAACGCUGGCGGCAUGCCUAACACAUGCAAGUCGAACGAGAUCUUCGGGUCUAGUGGCGCACGGGUGCGUAACGCGUGGGAAUCUGCCCUUUGGUUCGGAAUAACAGUUGGAACCGACUGCUAAUACCGGAUGAUGACGAAAGUCCAAAGAUUUAUCGCCAGAGGAUGAGCCCGCGUAGGAUUAGCUAGUUGGUGUGGUAAAGGCGCACCAAGGCGACGAUCCUUAGCUGGUCUGAGAGGAUGAUCAGCCACACUGGGACUGAGACACGGCCCAGACUCCUACGGGAGGCAGCAGUGGGGAAUAUUGGACAAUGGGCGAAAGACUGAUCCAGCAAUGCCGCGUGAGUGAUGAAGGCCUUAGGGUUGUAAAGCUCUUUUACCCGGGAUGAUAAUGACAGUACCGGGAGAAUAAGCUCCGGCUAACUCCGUGCCAGCAGCCGCGGUAA